rnacentral:rRNA from 1 species
UAUGUUCUUCGUGAACAUGGCGUACUGCUCAGUAACACGUGGAUAACCUGCCCUUGGGUCCGGCAUAACCCCGGGAAACUGGGGAUAAUUCCGGAUAACGCAUAUAUGCUGGAAUGCUUUAUGCGUCAAAUGGAUUCGUCUGCCCAAGGAUGGGUCUGCGGCCUAUCAGGUAGUAGUGGGUGUAAUGUACCUACUAGCCGACGACGGGUACGGGUUGUGAGAGCAAGAGCCCGGAGAUGGAUUCUGAGACAUGAAUCCAGGCCCUACGGGGCGCAGCAGGCGCGAAAACUUUACAAUGCGGGAAACCGUGAUAAGGGGACACCGAGUGCCAGCAUCAUAUGCUGGCUGUCCGGGUGUGUAAAAUACACCCGUUAGCAAGGGCCGGGCAAGACCGGUGCCAGCCGCCGCGGUAACACCGGCGGCCCGAGUGGUGAUCGUGAUUAUUGGGUCUAAAGGGUCCGUAGCCGGUUUGGUCAGUCCUCCGGGAAAUCUGACGGCUUAACCGUUAGGCUUUCGGAGGAUACUGCCAGGCUUGGAACCGGGAGAGGUAAGAGGUACUACAGGGGUAGGAGUGAAAUCUUGUAAUCCCUGUGGGACCACCUGUGGCGAAGGCGUCUUACCAGAACGGGUUCGACGGUGA